rnacentral:rRNA from 1 species
GCCCUUGAAAUAAUCAAAGGUGUAACCUGCUCAGUGGUUUAUAAGCAAAUUAAAUAAUCUUUAAUCACUUAAACUAAAAAGACGCAUUAAUCUGAGUGUGAUAAUGUAGCGUAAUCACUCGCCAUUUAAUUGGUGGAUAGUAUGAAUGGUUGAACGAAUAUUCCAUUGUUUUUAAUGUAAAUUAACUAAAAUUUAGCUCAUCGUAAAGACACGAUGUAAAACUGUAAGACGAAAAGACCCUAUAGAGCUUAACUAUAAACUCUUUUAUAAGAUUAGUUAUAAAACAGUUUGGUAGUUUGGUUGGGGCGACCGCCUUUUAAAAAAAACAAAGGCCAGCAAAAGUAUUAAAUAAACUUACUGUAUAAUAAAUUUAUUUAACAGUUAUUAAAGUAGGCUAAAAUGACCCAUUCUAAUAAAGCACAUAGAAUGUUUAAGAAAUAAAAGCUACCUUAGGGAUAACAGGGUAAUUUCUAUAAGGACUGAGAUAGUGCUGAUAGAGCUUGCCACCUCGAUGUUGAAUUGAGAUAACCUUGCGUUUAAGCGAGCGCAAAAGGUAGGUCUGUUCGACCUUUAAAAUCUU